rnacentral:rRNA from 1 species
AGCGAACGCUGGCGGCAGGCUUAACACAUGCAAGUCGAGCGGGCACUUUCGGGUGUCAGCGGCGGACGGGUGAGUAACGCGUGGGAACGUGCCCUCUGGUUCGGAAUAACUCAGGGAAACUUGAGCUAAUACCGGAUACGCCCUUUUGGUGAAAGGCUUGCUGCCGGAGGAUCGGCCCGCGUCUGAUUAGCUAGUUGGUGAGGUAACGGCUCACCAAGGCGACGAUCAGUAGCUGGUCUGAGAGGAUGAUCAGCCACACUGGGACUGAGACACGGCCCAGACUCCUACGGGAGGCAGCAGUGGGGAAUAUUGGACAAUGGGCGCAAGCCUGAUCCAGCCAUGCCGCGUGAGUGAUGAAGGCCUUAGGGUUGUAAAGCUCUUUUAUCCGGGACGAUAAUGACGGUACCGGAGGAAUAAGCCCCGGCUAACUUCGUG